AUUUAUGUGUGUUUUCUCACAGUUUAGUGCAAACGUUUCCAGCGCAAGUUUGAAUCUCUCUCAGUCAGGGGGGAGAUUGACUGACAGACGGUCUACUCGCCACCAAACAGUAAUCUACACAGAAACCUUUUACAGUUUAGCACAAACGUUUCCCGCGCAAGUUUGGAUCUUAACCAUUGAGGGUGGCUGACUGUUCUCGACCAACCAUCAUUCACACGCAAAAACUUUAAAGAUAAGUAUGAACGUGCCCAGAGCAGUUUUCGAUCUUUACCAUUAAGGAGGCUGACUGACUAUCCUCUACCACCCGUCAUUAACACAAGAAAAACUAAAGAAAUGUUACUCCAUAUGGACCUAUUCAUUUACUCAUUAUGCUGUGAGUACACCACAGUUUUAUCAGGGAAAAAAAUUAUAUUUGUGUGUUUCUCACUGCUUGGCAAGGACAGAUGUGGCCCUGUUAAAAUGUCGUUUGGUUUAAGGAACAGCACACUGAUUUUGUUUUUAAAUAUUCCUGUUUGGACAGUCUGUUAAAGUCAUAAAGGAAUACUUGAUAUAUUUCAUAAGUAAAGUGUAAAUGUAAUAUUAGUUUUUAAUGUUGUGAAUUUGGACUGAACAGCACACUUCUGUUUUAUAUCUAAACCUUUUUUUAA